CCUACGGGAGGCAGCAGUGAGGAAUAUUGCACAAUGGGGGAAACCCUGAUGCAGCGACGCCGCGUGAGUGAAGAAGGAUUUCGGUAUUUAAAGCUCUAUCUGCAGGGGAGAAAAUGACGGUACCUGAUUAAGAAGCACCGGCUAACUACGUGCCAGCAGCCGCGGGAAUACGUAGGCGGCAAGCGUUAUCCGGAUUUACUGGGUGUAAAGGGAGCGUAGACGGUAGCGCAAGUCUGAAGUGAAAUGCCGGGGCUUAACCCCGGAACUGCUUGGGAAACUGUGCAGCUAGAGUGCAGGAGAGGUAAGUGGAAUGCCUGGUGUAGCGGUGAAAUGCGUAGAUAUUAGGAGGAACACCAGUGGCGAAGGCGGCUUACUGGACUGUAACUGACGUUGAGGCUCGAAAGCGUGGGGAGCAAACAGGAUUAGAUACCCCAGUAGUC
rnacentral:rRNA from 1 species